UAACAUAGAACAGCACCAAACUCACCAUCUCCAACCCUACCAGACUCCAUGUAAAUAAUCACUACUUUUAGCGUGUAUAGAGCUAGCAUACUUGCACAGGUAAAUGGGUGAAUUCAGGGUGGAUUUCAACCAAAACCAGAUAAGUUGUUGUUUUAACAGUGGAAUCAGAACCAAGACAGCUUUUGAUAGUUUUACUUUGUUUGCGUGGCCGUUGAAUGAAGUGUAGUUUACGAUGCUAAAGUUACUGUUUAUUUACGUGGAGUCUGGUGGGUAUAGUGAACGCAAUUUUGCAGAUGGUUUUAUGAUU